rnacentral:rRNA from 1 species
GACGAACGCUGGCGGCGUGCUUAACACAUGCAAGUCGAGCGGAAAGGCCCUUUCGGGGGUACUCGAGCGGCGAACGGGUGAGUAACACGUGAGUAAUCUGCCCUGGACUCUGGGAUAGCCACCGGAAACGGUGAUUAAUACCGGAUAUGACACCUUGCUGCAUGGUGGGGUGUGGAAAGUUUUUUCGGUCCAGGAUGUGCUCGCGGCCUAUCAGCUUGUUGGUGAGGUAAUGGCUCACCAAGGCUUUGACGGGUAGCCGGCCUGAGAGGGUGACCGGUCACACUGGGACUGGGACACGGCCCAGGCUCCUACGGGAGGCAGCAGUGGGGAAUAUUGGACAAUGGGCGGAAGCCUGAUCCAGCAACGCCGCGUGAGGGAUGACGGCCUUCGGGUUGUAAACCUCUUUCAGUACCGACGAAGCGUGAGUGACGGUAGGUACAGAAGAAGGACCGGCCAACUACGUGCCAGCCGCCGCCGUAAUAC